GCGAUCAUACCGGCACUAAUACACCAGAUCCCAUCAGAACUCCGCAGUUAAGUGUGUUUGGGCGAGAGUAGUACUAGGAUAGGUGAUUCCUUGGAAAGUCCUUGUGUUACACCCC